GACGAACGCUGGCGGCGUGCCUAAUACAUGCAAGUCGAACGCAGUUUCGAACGGGUGAGUAACGCGUAGGUAACUGCCUCAUAGCUGGGGAUAACUAUUUGAAACGAUAGCUAAUACCGCAUACUUUGAGCUGGACCUGCGUUGUAUUAGCUAGUUGGUGAGGUAAAGGCUCACCAAGGCGACGAUACAUAGCCGACCUGAGAGGGUGGUCGGCCAAAACGGGAAUGAGACACGGCCCAGAAUCCUAAGGGAGGGAGAAGGAGGGAAUCUUCGGAAAUGGGCGGAAGUCUGAACGAGCAACGCCGCGGGAGUGAAGAAGGUGUUUGGAGCGUAAAGCUCUGUUGUUAGAGAAGCGGUAACUAACGAGAAAGGGACGGCUAACUACGUGCCAGCAGCCGCGGUAAUUC
rnacentral:rRNA from 1 species